UACAGAGGUCUCAAGCGUUGUUCGGAUUCAUUGGGCGUAAAGGGUGCGUAGGUGGCGGGGUAAGUCAGGUGUGAAAUUUCGGAGCUUAACUCCGAAACUGCAUUCGAUACUGCGGUGCUUGAGGACUGGAGAGGAGACUGGAAUUCAUGGUGUAGCAGUGAAAUGCGUAGAGAUCAUGAGGAAGACCAGUGGCGAAGGCGGGUCUCUGGACAGUUCCUGACACUGAGACACGAAGGCCAGGGGAGCAAACGGG
rnacentral:rRNA from 1 species